rnacentral:rRNA from 1 species
CCUACGGGAGGCAGCAGUGAGGAAUAUUGGUCAAUGGCCGGAAGGCUGAACCAGCCAAGCCGCGUGAAGGACGAUGGUGUCAAGCAUUGUAAACUUCUUUUGUCAAGGGACAAAAUCAGCCCCGAUAGCCUGACCGAGGGUACUUGAAGAAAAACCAUCGGCUAACUCCGUGCCACCAGCCGCGGUAAUACGGAGGAUGCGAGCGUUAUCCGGUUUUAUUGGGUUUAAAGGGUGCGUAGGCGGGCUGUUAAGUCAGCGGUAAAAGCCCGGGGCUCACGCCCGGCGAGCCGUUGAAACUGGCUGUCUUGAGAUGGCGUGAGGUAUGCGGAAUGCGCAGUGUAGCGGUGAAAUGCUUAGAUAUUGCGCAGAACUCCGAUUGCGAAGGCAGCAUAC